rnacentral:lncRNA from 1 species
GUUCUCUGACUGAAGUCUCUUCCUUGCACUCCUCUGCACUUGACCCUAUGCACUUGACCUAUGCACGUGCGCCUUCGACGAUGAUCUCUUUCUCUUUCUCCCCAGUGGAAUAUGGACUUUGCCUCUUUGGCUCUUCUGCUUGCCCAGUGCUUUGAACAGUGCCUGGCACAAGGGCUACCAUUCCCAGGAGGGCUACAACUCUGUGCUAUGACCCUGGCUCCAGCCUGUAUGCUCUGAUCCCUUUGGAAGGGACAAGAUCAGCUACAUGACGCUAAAUGUUGGUGAUGCUUCAGGCAUUGAAGUAAAUAAUGAUGGAUGUAACUACAAAAUUGUUCUUGACAACAUUGUUUCUAAUACCUGAGAACCAGAUGCAAUCCAAAUAGCAAACACAAGAUGAAAUAAAAUAUAAAACAUCCAUAUAAUAAAACACCAUCAAUAUAAAUUUUGGUCAAUCUGUGAGGUUAAAAAAAUGAUAAUCCAAUUGUUGGUAUCCAUUUGCAUUUCUUUAAUCUUUUUGUUGGCUGUCUUUCUUUCAGUGUUGACUGCUUAC